AGAAAUAAGAGCUCCUGAGACCCUGCUGGAUACAAAUGCCCUGUACGACCUAAGGGCCUCCACAGCAGGAACAAAAGGAAUUUUGUCUGAGAUUUUAGCAGAAAAGUAAUUUUUGAAAUCUAUUCUUGGAUUUAGACGUUUAUUGGAUUUCAAAGCUUCUUGCUGCCCAGGAGCUUGUGAAUACGGUCAAAGGUCCAUGAAAUUUCCAAAGUGGUACCACAGCAGAUGAACCUGAAUGCAAACUGGAGGGACCAACAGAGUCCAGCCUAUAGACAUAAAUCCUUAACUACACCUAGAUCUCACUGUCUUUUCCAAUGGUCAAAAGAGGGGCUCUUGAAAUGGCUCCAUUGUUUUAUAGAAACAAGGUCUUCCUAAGAAGUCUUUUUCUCCUAUCUUUUUCUUACCCAAAAUAAAGGAAUGGCCCAAAACCUCAAGCCAAGCUUACCAGCUAUAAACAACUUGGUGGUCAGCAGCCAAAAGAAGAGUGGACAUGCCAUGGUCAUGUGGCACGUACCCUAUACAAGCUUCACAGAGAAGAAUGGAAGCACUUGAUUGUAAGACAGAGGGUGAGAUGUGAGAGGAAUAUUAACCUUCACUUUCCACAGGCAUUUUUUUCUGCAAAUGGCACCAGCUUUUGGACUUAAAAUUUUAUUCCAAAUACUAUUUAGAUGCAUCAGGGCCCUCAAAAUAUGGAUUUCAAGUUGGAGACAUCAAAGUGCAUUAUUUACUAAAACCACUGCAGCUUUUUUCCCCUCUCCUUUCACAAGAUGCUAUUGUAAAUUCAGGCUGCUUUAAUCUCUGUGAUUAAAAAAAAAAAGGAAGAAAGAAAAAAAAAGUGCUGCUUGAAGAGGAACUGAACUCACAAUCUGGGAGCUAGAAAGUAAAUAUUACCCAGAGAGUACCUCACUUUAAUUACUGGCCUGAACAUUGGUUUCAAUUUACAUGUAUUUUAAUUAGCCACAGAAGGGUUCACCUAUUACUCUCUGAAUACAAAACUUAAAAAGCAAACAGAAAAUAGGGAAAGAAAGGCUUAUUUAAGGGCCUCCAAGGAUUAAUCUUUGCAUUCUUCUCAUUUUUUCCCCGAAUUUGGGGAUAAAAUUUGUCGCAGGGAAUUUGAUCUUAGGGAAACAUUGAGUUUGGUUUGUGAACACAAGCUACUUCUGAACACUAUUUUAGCAAACAGAAUUUUAGAAGCAUAAGGCUCUAGCAGAGGGCUAUACAGAAUUUUGCAUAAACUAAAUAACAACCGUUUCCUCCUGAAAUGCAGGAAAUCAAGCUGCACGGUCCUUAGGUCUUCAGCAAAGCUUGGACCACUUGGCAAAGUCUUCUGUCUCCAGAGGAAUGAUGGGAAAACUAUGGGACAAAAGUCAGGAGAGUGGUGCUGGCUGAUCCUGGCCUGGACAUUGACUCCCUGGGGACUUUGGUGCUCUCUCGUGCUCUCUCUGUCUCCAGUGAUAAGCUGACCAGAUGCCUUGAAUUAAGUACAGUAUGCAGCAAUGCCAGCCCUGGACUUUUCCCCAACCUAUCACCCAACCCACUUACCUGGAGCCAAGGGUCACCAACAUCUCUAAUAGAAUCCAACUGUGGAAUAGAAAAACUAUUUCGUCUAAGAAGUGGAUCCUAGCUGUCAAAUAAAAAAUCGCUGUUGAA
rnacentral:lncRNA from 1 species